rnacentral:rRNA from 1 species
AUUGAACGCUAGCGGGAUGCUUUACACAUGCAAGUCGAACGAGUGGCGGACGGGUGAGUAAUAUAUCGGAACGUGCCCAGUAGCGGGGGCUAACUACUCGAAAGAGUGGCUACUACCGCAUACGAUUGGAGCGGCCGUUGUCGGAUUAGCUAGUUGGUGGGGUAAAGGCUCACCAAGGGAACGAUCCGUAGCUGGUUUGAGAGGAAGACCAGCCACACUGGGACUGAGACACGGCCCAGACUCCUACGGGAGGCAGCAGUGGGGAAUCUUCGACAAUGGGGGAAACCCUGAUCCAGCCAUCCCGCGUGUAUGAGAAGGCCUUCGGGUUGUAAAGUACUUUUGGCAGAGAAGCGGUAUCUGACGAAUAAGCACCGGCUAACUACGUGCCAGCAGCCGCGGUAAUUC